rnacentral:rRNA from 1 species
UACGGGAGGCAGCAGUAGGGAAUCUUCCGCAAUGGGCGAAAGCCUGACGGAGCAACGCCGCGUGAGUGAUGAAGGUCUUCGGAUCGUAAAGCUCUGUUGUUAGGGAAGAACAAAUGUGUAAGUAACUGUGCACAUCUUGACGGUACCUAACCAGAAAGCCACGGCUAACUACGUGCCAGCAGCCGCGGUAAUACGUAGGUGGCAAGCGUUAUCCGGAAUUAUUGGGCGUAAAGCGCGCGUAGGCGGUUUUUUAAGUCUGAUGUGAAAGCCCACGGCUCAACCGUGGAGGGUCAUUGGAAACUGGAAAACUUGAGUGCAGAAGAGGAAAGUGGAAUUCCAUGUGUAGCGGUGAAAUGCGCAGAGAUAUGGAGGAAC